GACGAACCGUGCGAACGUUAUUCGGAAUCACUGGGCUUAAAGCGCGUGUAGGCGGCCCGGCACGUCAUCGGCUGAAAUCCCCCGGCUCAACCGGGGAACGGGCCGUGAUACGACCGGGCUGGAGGGAGGUAGGGGGGACGGGAACUCACGGUGGAGCGGUGAAAUGCGUUGAGAUCGUGAGGAACGCCCGCGGCGAAAGCGCGUCCCUGGACCCCGCCUGACGCUGAGACGCGAAGCCAGGGGAGCGAACGGG
rnacentral:rRNA from 1 species